AUAUCCUGAGAUAACCACACCCAGGGCCAAAGUGUUCUCAAUAUGCACACAUUUCAGGAAGUUUGCUGUAACAGGAAAAAUUUUCAAAGGCCAAUAGAAAUGAACCUCUUUCCUUGGAGGGUGUCACUACACGCCAAGUUCACCACAGUCCUUAGCCUCAGGAAAGCAAGACAUUCAUUCUUCUGUUAUAUUUUUAAUGUCUUUACCUCUUGUUGAGGCAUUACCCUGUUUAUAAGCUGCAAAAUGUUUGGGAUCAAAUGUCUGCUCCUCAAAUCUGCUACUUUUGGCAGGAUUUUCAGUGAUACCUAAAAGUACUAUUUUAAGUAACUUUAGGAAUUCUCUAGUAAGCUUACAAAAGGCCAUUCCCUUAAAAUUCACUGGACUGCAUUCCCUCAUUUGGUAUACUUUCACUAACACAGACAGAUUUGCCUCUCUUUGGGUCUAAUGCAGCCAGGAUAUAAAAUUAUGUUGCAUCUCUUUACUCCGAGACUCCUACUAAAUCACUCUCUAGCAACCUCUACUUAAUAGUGUAUUAUGUUUAUUGUCUGCCCACCAGCUAAAAAGUAAGCUCCAAGGAGGAAAGAGAUUCGUCUUUGCUGUUUGGCUGAUCCUGACAGUUUAUAACAGUACCUGGCACAAAGUAUAAAUUUAAUUUAUUUGUUGAAUUUAUUAAGUGAAUUAAUUUCCAGCUAUAAAAGUUUAACCUAAAUGCUUUUGCACUUGGCAUGUUGAAACAAGACACUCUUUUUGAGUGGAGAAAUACCUUGCGGGCUUGGAGUGAAAAGUAAAAGGAAAUCAUGAACAUUUCAUCCUACACUAAUGGCACAAAUUACUCCAAAGUAACAUUUCUUUGUGUUCCAAAAUGCAUCAAAUCUGGCUUGAUACCUCCAUAGAACAAGGUUUUUGAGAAAUCCAACAAAAGUUAUCAUCUCGGAUUACCUUCCUUUCCAAUCUUUCAAAUGAGAAAUCUAGAGCUCAUGGAAUCCAGAAAAAAAUGGGACAGAGGUUGAUAUUCAAUUUUGGUCACUAAGGCUCUCAAUCUGUGAUGAAGGGAAUGACUCCCCCACACUUGAUCUUCACACUAUCUGAAACUAUAAACCCUAAUGUCUUCCCCAGACCUCAAGUACACAUCCAACAUCCCAAUUCCUUUCAUUUUUCUCUAAAGACCUUUCUGUUCCAUAUCUUAAAUAAAUAAAUAAAUAAAGUUAUUCAUACCUGCUGUGCCAUUACCCAAUAGUAUUUGACAGCUUGUCCUUAAAAAGGGAUUGACCUCAGCUCUUGGAAAGACAAAAAAUAUCUUAUCCUUCUCAGGAGACAAAUAAAAUCCAGGCUGUAGGACACUCCUGAUGAUGGUAGAGUCAGGGGAUUCACCUAAGAUUGGGUUCAGCUGAUUGUGACUUAAACUGGAAAAUAUCAAUGUUUAUUUUACCUCUCUUAAAAUGAGUUCUGAGAUAGCCCCUUGAGCUCAUACAGAGGCUUCUAUCUUAAUGCUCCACCAAUUUUAGCAUGCCACCCCAUGACCUAAGACAACUGCUCAUGCAUUGACCAUAUGAAAGAGGGUAACAGGUAAUGCCAGAUGUCUUAUAAGAUUCCCUAGGGCUUCCAUAAUCUUUCAUCACAUUUCAUUGGUCAGUACAUAGUCACACAUCAGACUAGUUAUGAGGGAUGCUGGAAAGUAUAGUCUUUAUCUCAUAUGAUCACACUAGACACUGGAGAAGGCAAUUAUCAGUCUAUACUACGAAGUCACUCUGUUCUUUCAUGAACUAAUAGAAGCGAAAAAUAAAGCCCAGUUUUCUCACUAGAUCAUCAAGCUGUAUUAAAAUAUUAAUAAAUGAUUCUUUUAUUUUCCCAAGUUUAAGACUCACCUCCAGUCUCUAUGGUCACUUGCCCCUACUUUGAAUCAAGAUUAGGGAAAGAGACAAUCAUUUGUCAUCAGGAACUUCUUCCCAGAAGUUCUUUUCUCACCCAACUUGGUCUCAGGUAAAUUGAUUUCACAGAUGUAUAAUAAUGAAAGAAAGGAAUGUAAGAGAAGAAAAAAAUCUAAAAUAGAGCCAAAUUUCAAUUCUAGGAAGGCUGGACAUGAACACUCAAGUAACAGAGUUGGUGAUAUUAUCCUGUUCCCACCUUGUCUCCCAAAAAAUUUUAAGCUUGAAGAAUGUGCAUUAUUGUUUUAUAUGUUAUCUUUGCUACAUUGAGUUGAAAAAUGGAUAACAAUGUAAACAUAAAUAAGACUUGAGGUGUCAGGAAAUAAAUACUUUGACUUAGGAGGGUAUUCUAACCUGUUCAAACACUGGCCACCCAUAUCCUACUUGAAGAAUCUAUUUUAUGUCUUUUAGAAUGUCACAAUGUGGUUAGAAUUAAAAUUCAGACCCUAUCCCAUAGCUACGUAGAGAGCUAUCUUUAUAUCCUUUAUAGACAUAAUAAAUAGUAUCUAGGCUUGGAGAAUAUGUAAUAGAGGAAACUGAUCAAGUCUAGGGGUCUAUGGAAGGUUUCCCAGAAGAAAGGGCAUUUGAUCUGAAUCUCAAAGAAUAAAAUUACCAAGUGAAGAGGAAGAGGAAGAAUUCCAGAUAAGGGACACAGUAUGUGCCAAAGCCCUGUGAUAGGAGAAAAAAAUAGAGCUUAUUUAAGGAACUGAAAAAAGGACAGUGUGAGUGGAACAUAAAGGUCAAAGCUGGGGAGUGUCAGUACCUAUUGGGGUUCUUUGGUUGUGAGCCACAGAAGUGAACUCUGCCUCUUUCAUCAAAAUGAGGAGGAAGGUUUUGGGAAAUAACUAAAGAACUCACCAAGUUAAAGGAUGCUUAAAAGAUCUGGUGACAUCGAGGCCACUGGUGAUCUCACAAGUGCCAUUCUGGAGGACCCAGAGUGAAAUGGCUUGAAGGGUUAUUAGAAAGUAGGGUGAAGAAAGUAGUGAGCACAGACUCUUUUGGGAAGUUUAACUAUUAAUGGAGAGGGGAGAGAGAAUGAAUUGACGCUGGAUAUGGAUGUAGGAUCAAGGAGGGCAUUUUCUAUGAUUAAGGAGUCUGGA
rnacentral:lncRNA from 1 species